rnacentral:rRNA from 1 species
AUUGAACGCUGGCGGCAUGCUUUACAAAUGCAAGUCGAACGGCAGCGCGGGCUUCGGCCUGGCGGCGAGUGGCGAACGGGUGGGUAAUACAUCGGAACGUGCCCAGUGGGGGGGGAAAGCCCGGCGAAAGCGGGAUAAAUACCGCAAACGACCGGAGGGUGAAAGGGGGGGAUCUUCGGACCUCGCGCUUUUGGAGCGGCCGAUGGCAGAUUAGCUAGUUGGUGGGGUAAAGGCCUACCAAGGCGACGAUCUGUAGCUGGUCUGAGAGGACGACCAGCCACACUGGGACUGAGACACGGCCCAGACUCCUACGGGAGGCAGCAGUGGGGAAUUUUGGACAAUGGGCGAAAGCCUGAUCCAGCAAUGCCGCGUGUGUGAUGAAGGCCUUCGGGUUGUAAAGCACUUUUGGCGGGAACGAAAAGGACUGUGCCAAUACCACGGUUCGAUGACGGUACCCGCAGAAUAAGCACCGGCUAACUACGUG